ACGAGUUGAAAAACUCCAAACCACUGUGAACCUACCCAAGAUAACAUGCUUCGGCGGGCAGCCCCUGGGAGGGCCGUAGCCCUCGCGGGCGCCCGCCGGAGGAACGAAACCAUUCUGUAUUUCAGUACUACUCUGAGUAACCAACAAAUAAGUCAAAACUUUCAGCAACGGAUCUCUUGGUUCUGGCAUCGAUGAAGAACGCAGCGAAAUGCGAUAAGUAAUGUGAAUUGCAGAAUUCAGUGAAUCAUCGAAUCUUUGAACGCACAUUGCGCCCGCUAGUACUCUGGCGGGCAUGCCUGUUCGAGCGUCAUUUCAACCCUCAAGCCCUGCUUGGUGAUGGGGUCCUACGCGCCCCGUAGGCCCUGAAAUACAGUGGCGGCCUCACUACAAACCCGAGCGCAGUAAUUACACCUCGCUCUGGGCGUUGCGGUGGGAGCCUGCCGUGAAACCUCCUAUAUUUUACAAAGGUUGACCUCGGAUCAGGUAGGAAUACCCGCUGAACUUAA
rnacentral:rRNA from 1 species